rnacentral:rRNA from 1 species
GAUGAACGCUGGCGGCGUGCCUAAUACAUGCAAGUCGAGCGAACAGACGAGGAGCUUGCUCCUCUGACGUUAGCGGCGGACGGGUGAGUAACACGUGGAUAACCUACCUAUAAGACUGGGAUAACUUCGGGAAACCGGAGCUAAUACCGGAUAAUAUAUUGAACCGCAUGGUUCAAUAGUGAAAGACGGUUUUGCUGUCACUUAUAGAUGGAUCCGCGCCGCAUUAGCUAGUUGGUAAGGUAACGGCUUACCAAGGCAACGAUGCGUAGCCGACCUGAGAGGGUGAUCGGCCACACUGGAACUGAGACACGGUCCAGACUCCUACGGGAGGCAGCAGUAGGGAAUCUUCCGCAAUGGGCGAAAGCCUGACGGAGCAAAGACGCGUGAGUGAUGAAGGUCUUCGGAUCGUAAAACUCUGUUAUUAGGGAAGAACAAAUGUGUAAGUAACUAUGCACGUCUUGACGGUACCUAAUCAGAAAGCCACGGCUAACUACGUG